rnacentral:rRNA from 1 species
UACGGAGGGUGCGAGCGUUGUCCGGAAUCACUGGGCGUAAAGGGCGCGUAGGCGGCCUGAUAAGUAGGGGGUGAAAUCCUGCGGCUUAACCGCAGGGCUGCCUUCUAAACUGUCAGGCUAGAGCACUGUAGAGGCAGGCGGAAUUCCGGGUGUAGUGGUGAAAUGCGUAGAGAUCCGGAGGAACCCCAGAGGCGAAGGCGGCGCUCUGGCUCGCAACUGACGCUCAGACACGACAGCAUGGGGAGCGAACGGG